rnacentral:rRNA from 1 species
AGCGAACGCUGGCGGCAGGCUUAACACAUGCAAGUCGAGCGGGCAUAGCAAUAUGUCAGCGGCAGACGGGUGAGUAACGCGUGGGAACGUACCUUUUGGUUCGGAACAACUGAGGGAAACUUCAGCUAAUACCGGAUAAGCCCUUACGGGGAAGGAUUUAUCGCCGAAAGAUCGGCCCGCGUCUGAUUAGCUAGUUGGUGAGGUAAUGGCUCACCAAGGCGACGAUCAGUAGCUGGUCUGAGAGGAUGAUCAGCCACAUUGGGACUGAGACACGGCCCAAACUCCUACGGGAGGCAGCAGUGGGGAAUAUUGGACAAUGGGCGCAAGCCUGAUCCAGCCAUGCCGCGUGAGUGAUGAAGGCCCUAGGGUUGUAAAGCUCUUUUGUGCGGGAAGAUAAUGACGGUACCGCAAGAAUAAGCCCCGGCUAACUUCGUG